CGCCCCUGGUCGCGGUGCCUGCCGGGAGGUAGAGCGCCGAACGGGAGCGUCGGCCAUUUUGUGCCUGUUUCCUGUGGGACGCGGCGGUGGCAGU
rnacentral:pre_miRNA from 12 species